rnacentral:tRNA from 1 species
AUUUAAAUAGUUUAUAUAAAAAUAUUGAAUUGUGGGUUCAAAGAUGUAAUUUAACUUUAAAUU